AAAAUGCGAUAAGUAAUGUGAAUUGCAGAAUUCAGUGAAUCAUCGAAUCUUGAACGCACAUUGCGCCCGCCAGUAUUCUGGCGGGCAUGCCUGUUCGAGCGUCAUUUCAACCCUCAAGCCCCCGGGUUUGGUGUUGGGGAUCGGGCUGCGGUUCUACCGCGUCCCGGCCCCGAAAUCUAGUGGCGGUCUCGCUGCGGCCUCCAUUGCGUAGUAGCUAACACCUCGCAACUGGAACGCGGCGCGGCCAAGCCGUUAAACCCCCAACUUCUGAAUGUUGACCUCGGAUCAGGUAGGAAUACCCGCUGAACUUAAGC
rnacentral:misc_RNA from 1 species